rnacentral:rRNA from 1 species
UACGGAGGGUGCGAGCGUUGUCCGGAAUCAUUGGGCGUAAAGGGCGCGUAGGUGGCCCGGUCAGUCCGUGGUGAAAGCGCGGGGCUCAACCCUGCGUCGGCCAUGGAUACUGCCGCGGCUCGAGCACUGUAGAGGCAGGCGGAAUUCCGGGUGUAGCGGUGGAAUGCGUAGAGAUCCGGAGGAAUACCGGUGGCGAAGGCGGCAUCCUGGACCGGCAUUGACGCUGAGGAGCGAAAGCCAGGGGAGCAAACGGG